UGCAAGUCGAACGAUGAAGCUGGAGCUUGCUCUGGCGGAUUAGUGGCGAACGGGUGAGUAACACGUGAGCAACCUGCCCCUGACUCUGGGAUAAGCGCUGGAAACGGCGUCUAAUACUGGAUAUGUGAUGUGACCGCAUGGUCUGCGUCUGGAAAGAUUUUUCGGUUGGGGAUGGGCUCGCGGCCUAUCAGCUUGUUGGUGAGGUAAUGGCUCACCAAGGCGUCGACGGGUAGCCGGCCUGAGAGGGUGACCGGCCACACUGGGACUGAGACACGGCCCAGACUCCUACGGGAGGCAGCAGUGGGGAAUAUUGCACAAUGGGCGAAAGCCUGAUGCAGCAACGCCGCGUGAGGGAUGACGGCCUUCGGGUUGUAAACCUCUUUUAGCAGGGAAGAAGCGAGAGUGACGGUACCUGCAGAAAAAGCACCGGCUAACUACGUGCCAGCAGCCGCGGUAAUACGUAGGGUGCAAGCGUUAUCCGGAAUUAUUGGGCGUAAAGAGCUCGUAGGCGGUCUGUCGCGUCUGCUGUGAAAUCCCGAGGCUCAACCUCGGGCUUGCAGUGGGUACGGGCAGACUAGAGUGCGGUAGGGGAGAUUGGAAUUCCUGGUGUAGCGGUGGAAUGCGCAGAUAUCAGGAGGAACACCGAUGGCGAAGGCAGAUCUCUGGGCCGUAACUGACGCUGAGGAGCGAAAGGGUGGGGAGCAAACAGGCUUAGAUACCCUGGUAGUCCACCCCGUAAACGUUGGGAACUAGUUGUGGGGUCCUUUCCACGGAUUCCGUGACGCAGCUAACGCAUUAAGUUCCCCGCCUGGGGAGUACGGCCGCAAGGCUAAAACUCAAAGGAAUUGACGGGGACCCGCACAAGCGGCGGAGCAUGCGGAUUAAUUCGAUGCAACGCGAAGAACCUUACCAAGGCUUGACAUACACGAGAACGGGCCAGAAAUGGUCAACUCUUUGGACACUCGUGAACAGGUGGUGCAUGG
rnacentral:rRNA from 1 species